rnacentral:rRNA from 1 species
CUAGCCGUAAACGAUGGACACUAGAUGUUGCCCGUAUAGACCCGGGCAGUGUCGUAGCUAACGCGUUAAGUGUCCCGCCUGGGGAGUAUGCACGCAAGUGUGAAACUCAAAGGAAUUGACGGGGGCCCGCACAAGCGGUGGAGUAUGUGGUUUAAUUCGAUGCAACGCGAAGAACCUUACCAGGGCUUGACAUGUCGCGAACCCCGCUGAAAGGUGGGGGUGCCUUCGGGAGCGCGAACACAGGUGG